rnacentral:rRNA from 1 species
CAAUAGCGUAUAUUAAAGUUGUUGCGGUUAAAAAGCUCGUAGUUGGAUUUCUGCCGAGGACGACCGGUCCGCCCUCUGGGUGAGUAUCUGGCUCGGCCUGGGCAUCUUCUUGGAGAACGUAGCUGCACUUGACUGUGUGGUGCGGUAUCCAGGGCUUUUACUUUGAGGAAAUUAGAGUGUUUCAAGCAGGCUUACGCCUUGAAUACAUUAGCAUGGAAUAAUAAGAUAGGACCUCGGUUCUAUUUUGUUGGUUUCUAGAGCUGAGGUAAUGAUUAAUAGGGAUAGUUGGGGGCAUUCGUAUUUAACUGUCAGAGGUGAAAUUCUUGGAUUUGUUAAAGACGGACUACUGCGAAANCANNNGCCAAGGAUGUUUUCAUNGA